rnacentral:rRNA from 1 species
AUUGAACGCUGGCGGCAUGCCUUACACAUGCAAGUCGAACGGCAGCACGGGAGCUUGCUCCUGGUGGCGAGUGGCGAACGGGUGAGUAAUACAUCGGAACGCACCCAGGAGUGGGGGAUAACGUAGCGAAAGUUACGCUAAUACCGCAUAUUCUGUGAGCAGGAAAGCGGGGGAUCGCAAGACCUCGCGCUCUUGGAGCGUCCGAUGUCGGAUUAGCUAGUUGGUGAGGUAAAAGCUCACCAAGGCGACGAUCCGUAGCAGGUCUGAGAGGAAGAGCUGCCAACCUGGGACUGAGGCACGGCCCAGACUCCUACGGGAGGCAGCAGUGGAGAAUUUUGGACAAUGGGGGCAACCCUGAUCCAGCCAUGCCGCGUGAGUAAAGAAGGCCUUCGGGUUGUAAAGCUCUUUCGGCGGGGAAGAAAUGGCAACGGCUAAUAUCCGUUGUUGAUGACGGUACCCGCAUAAGAAGCACCGGCUAACUACGUGCCAGCCGCCGCCGUAA